rnacentral:rRNA from 1 species
CUCAGAUUGAACGCUGGCGGCAGGCCUAACACAUGCAAGUCGAGCGGCAGCGGGAAGUAGUUUACUACUUUGCCGGCGAGCGGCGGACGGGUGAGUAAUGUCUGGGAAACUGCCUGAUGGAGGGGGAUAACUACUGGAAACGGUAGCUAAUACCGCAUGACCUCGCAAGAGCAAAGUGGGGGACCUUCGGGCCUCACGCCAUCGGAUGUGCCCAGAUGGGAUUAGCUAGUAGGUGAGGUAAUGGCUCACCUAGGCGACGAUCCCUAGCUGGUCUGAGAGGAUGACCAGCCACACUGGAACUGAGACACGGUCCAGACUCCUACGGGAGGCAGCAGUGGGGAAUAUUGCACAAUGGGCGCAAGCCUGAUGCAGCCAUGCCGCGUGUGUGAAGAAGGCCUUCGGGUUGUAAAGCACUUUCAGCGAGGAGGAAGGGGUUGAGUUUAAUACGCUCAAUCAUUGACGUUACUCGCAGAAGA